CCUACGGGUGGCAGCAGUGGGGGAUAUUGCACAAUGGGGGAAACCCUGAUGCAGCGACGCCGCGUGGGCGAAGAAGUACUUCGGUAUGUAAAGCUCUAUCAGCAGGGGAGAAGAAAUGACGGUACCUGAGUAAGAAGCACUGGCUAAAUACGUGCCAGCAGCCGCGGUAAUACGGAUGGCGCAAGCGUUAUCCGGAUUUACUGGGUGUAAAGGGAGCGCAGGCGGUACGGCAAGCCUGAUGGGAAAGCCAGGGGCCCAACCGCUGGAGUGCAUUUGGAACUACCGGGCUGGAGUGCGGGAGGGGUAGGCGGAAUGCGUGGUGUAGCGGUGAAAUGCGU
rnacentral:rRNA from 1 species